GAUGAACGCUGGCGGCGUGCUUAACACAUGCAAGUCGAGCGAGUGAGUUCUUCGGAACGAUCUAGCGGCGGACGGGUGAGUAACACGUGGGCAACCUGCCUCAUAGAGGGGAAUAGCCUCCCGAAAGGGAGAUUAAUACCGCAUAAAAUAAUCGAGUGGCAUCACAUGAUAAUCAAAGGAGUAAUCCGCUAUGAGAUGGGCCCGCGGCGCAUUAGCUAGUUGGUGAGGUAACGGCUCACCAAGGCGACGAUGCGUAGCCGACCUGAGAGGGUGAUCGGCCACAUUGGGACUGAGACACGGCCCAGACUCCUACGGGAGGCAGCAGUGGGGAAUAUUGCACAAUGGGGGAAACCCUGAUGCAGCAACGCCGCGUGGGUGAUGAAGGUCUUCGGAUUGUAAAGCUCUGUCUUUGGGGACGAUAAUGACGGUACCCAAGGAGGAAGCCACGGCUAACUACGUGCCAGCCGCCGCCGUAA
rnacentral:rRNA from 1 species